CACGCACACACACGCACACACACAUCUGGACCAAAGGAACUGCAGGCCGUUGGGAUAUCCAGGUGCUGUUGGUAGUCCAGAGAGAGUGAGAGAUAGAGAGAGAGAGAGAGACAUGAGCAUAUGUUUGUCAUUUUAAGUUUCAUGGAGAGGGGUGGACAUGGGACUGUGAUGACAUCACCACUCUGUUUCAGCUCACAUCUGGAACUGUUCAAGACAUGGUGCGGAAAGAGAGAGAGAGAAGAGAGAGAGAGAAGGAGCAAGGACGAAGAGAAAGAAGCACCUGAUGAUCAACACAGUCACUGUACAUGAGGCCACACCCAUGGUUUGUGAUUUGCUGGCCUUGAUUUCUUGGGCCAUUCUAAUUGGUUUAUUUAAAUUCAGUGCUUCAGGUGAAAUAGCAGUUUGGCACCUGAACAAUUUCUUAGGUGUUGCCCAAACUGGGAGAGGCAGAAAGAUAGAGAAGAGUGAGGAUGAAGAGAGAAGGGUGAAAAGCCGAACAUAGAGAUAAAUGUGCAGGAACACAAAUGACAGAAGACUGGAGAAAGAGAAAGAAAGGAUUUCAUUCACAGUCACCAGGAAUUGAGCAGCUCCUACAUAACAUGUACAGGAGAGAAAACACAGAGAAAAGCUUCAUUUUCAUCUAGAAAACCAAGUUGUUGCACAGAGGACAGCCAGUAGAGGUAUAGAAAAGAACAGAAAAGAGAGAGGACGAGGAGAGGGGAAGAGAAAUGAAAGCAAUCAGAGCGAGUUCUUCGUGGAGUUUACCAUGUGUCCCCCACCCUCCUGCUGGACCCUGCAGCUCAGAAUUAUGAUGUCAAAGAGAGCGAGAGAGAGAGGGAGCACAUAUGUUUCUGCUAUUACAGUAAGAGUAUGGAGAGAAAGAAAAGGAGAAGAGGUUGGAGGAGGAGAGAGUGAGAGUAUUAUCAUGGAGAGGAGGGGUUAAGAGUGAGUGGGUGAACAUAAAUAGCCUGUUCCACUGCCCCAUGAUUUGAAAACCCACCCACUAAUUCUUUCACUCGGCAGAGGCUGAAAAAAAUAAGAGCGAUCCAAGAUGCUUUUAUUAGCAUGAAUGUAUGUAGUACAGUAUCACUAAAACCUCAGAAAUAUGGUUUAGAUUAAAAUAUUUAGUAGCAGUAGUAGUAGUAGUAGUACUGGCAGUAAACGUAACACUGAGCAAAGAAGUGUGUGGAUGUGACAGAGAAAGAUGCAAGAAGUGCAGGGUCACACUGUGACUCCUAGGGGUGUGUGUGUGUGUGAUUAACAAGGGUUAAUCUUAUUUUCUUUUUUUCAAAAUAUUUACUUUAUUAUUGGAAAAUAUUAUCUGCAAUUCAGAUAAAAAAUAAUUUAGAGUUGAAGGUGAGGGGGUCAAAGCUUAAUUAUGAUUUGAGUGGGUGGAAUCUGAUGAAAUUCUUCAAAUUUAUUAGAAUUCCUUUAAGAGCUUGGGUUGCUGGUCCAGAUUUCGAUGUUCUUAAAAUGCUUAAUUGUGGAUGUAAUACAAAUUUGAAUCAGAAGCCUCAGUCCUUUGAAGAUGGAAAUACUGGGCUUUUCAUCCAGUUAUUUUCAUGUGAAUUUGUUCAUUAAAAAAAUAUUAAUGAAAAUGUUAGUGUUUCAGUUUGUCCAUGUCAACGGCUGUGUGUCUACCAAACAUUCUGUGAGAAAGAUUUUCUGAGAACAAUAUUCUUAUCAUGUUACCUUGCGAGAACAAAGUCACAGGGACAUUCACAAGCAUUGAGAACACUCCCACAGGAGUUUGAGAGGCACUCUGUACUUGCUUUCAGUGCAAGCUUAGCCUUUAGUGCGAGUUUGGGUCUUGUGAGCAACAACACCUUAGAUAUUCACUAACAGUGGAAACAGUGGAAAAAAUCUUAAAUGCUUGUUGACUUUUAGACAAAGCAGUGGUGCCCGAUGUUCACUGAAGUUGCUUACUUAGGUAACUGGAGCCUCCUAUCAGGAACUUUAGUUCAAAAGCACCCUUCACCUCAUUCUUAGGGGAGAAAAAAAAAGAGUUUGGACCAGGCUACCCCAGCCUUAUCUGCUCUUAAUCAAGCAUUCACCACUGCUCCCAUCCUGACCCCAAAACACCCUGACCCCAAACUGCCCUUCAUCACCAGAGUGGACACCCCCAGGGUUAUGCCAUAGGAAUGCUAUAAAUGGCUGAGGAAGCUGAACACCCUUUCAUAGCCUACACUGAUCGCAAUAACCUAAAUCUACAAAAUGCUUCAUACCUCAAGCCAGAUGGAGUUUCUUCUCACAGUUUAAUUUCACUGUCUCCUAUCACCCAGGAUCCAAGAAUUUCAAAUCCAGUGUGCUGCCUUGAAUUAAUCUUCCUAGCCCCAAAACCAAAAUGGUCACAGACUUGCCCUUCCCCAAGGGCAUAUAGUUGUUAUUGACCAUUUCUCAAAAUCCCUUAAAUUCCAAAAUCUCUCUGUCUCUCUAUCUUGGAUAUUGAGAUAAUUCACCAUUUUUUCUUGCUGACAAUAUAAAGCCUUAGAACAUAAAAGAAAUUUGUAAGAAAGACAGAUAGGGAGGAGAGAGAGAGUAGGAGAUGGAAAGGCCAGUAUCUUACACCCAAUACUUGCCAUCAUGGGACUGAAUAAUAACAAUAUCUCUAUAUAUGUUUCGUUAUAUAUCUGUAACUGGAGAUUGAAGUGAUAGAAAUACUA